GUUCUUAUCAACUGGAAGUUUGAGGAGAUGGAAAUGGCUUCUUAAUAAGGUGAAGGCAACCAGACCUUUUCCAGGCCUGCCCUUGCUGGUUUUGAAAAUGGUACUGCCAUUUUAUAAUCUUUGCACUUAGUAUUUUGUGAACAUGUUUCUAUAUUCUUUCAUAGCAUUAUAUGGAGAUAUCAUCAUUUCCCCGCAAAGUGAAGAUAAAUUUUUUAAGGUCACUAAGUAUUUUUCAAGUAAUAUAAAACUACUAGACAUUAAUCCACCUAUAUUUAAUGAUUAAUCUUAAGUGUACAUAGAAUGUGUAAAAUGUGGCGGGGGGGAUAGAG
rnacentral:lncRNA from 1 species